rnacentral:rRNA from 1 species
AGAGUUUGAUCCUGGCUCAGAGCGAACGUUAGCGGCACGCCUAACACAUGCAAGUCGCACGAGAGGGGGGCAACCCCUGAAAGUGGCGCACGGGUGCGUAACACGUAGAUAACCUGCCCUUAGGAGGGGGAUAACGUUCCGAAAGGAGCGCUAAUACCGCAUAACGCUGCGGGUGGUUCGCCACCUGCAGACAAAGGUAGGGACCGGCAACGGCCUACCGCCAGAGGAGGGGUCUGCGGCCCAUCAGCUAGUUGGGGAGGUAAUGGCUCACCAAGGCAGAGACGGGUAGCUGGUCUGAGAGGAUGAUCAGCCACACUGGUACUGGAACACGGACCAGACUCCUACGGGAGGCAGCAGUGGGGAAUCUUGGUCAAUGGGCGAAAGCCUGAACCAGCGAUGCCGCGUGAGUGAUGAAGGCCUUCGGGUUGUAAAGCUCUGUGGGGAGGGGAGAAAAAGCAGGUUCUAACAGGACCUGUGUUGACGGUACCUCCUUAGCAAGCACCGGCUAACUCUGUGCCAGCAGCCGCGGUAAGACAGAGGGUGCAAACGUUGCUCGGAAUCACUGGGCGUAAAGGGCGUGUAGGCGGGAAGGUAAGUCGGGCGUGAAAUCCCUGGGCUCAACCCAGGAACUGCACUCGAAACUACUUUUCUUGAGUGCCGGAGAGGAAAGCGGAAUUCCUGGUGUAGAGGUGAAAUUCGUAGAUAUCAGGAGGAACACCAGUGGCGAAGGCGGCUUUCUGGACGGUAACUGACGCUGAGACGCGAAAGCGUGGGGAGCAAACAGGAUUAGAUACCCUGGUAGUCCACGCUGUAAACGAUGAGUGCUAGGUGUCGUGGGUAUUGACCCCCGCGGUGCCGUAGCUAACGCAUUAAGCACUCCGCCUGGGAAGUACGGUCGCAAGACUAAAACUCAAAGGAAUUGACGG